rfam:Picea glauca, whole genome shotgun sequence.
GGGUGCCAUCAUACUAGUGUUAAUGCAACAGAUCCCAUCAGAACUCCGUAGUUAAGCGCGUUUGGGCUAGAGUAGUACUAGGAUGGGUGACCUCCAAGAAAUUCCUAGUGUUGCACCCU